rnacentral:rRNA from 1 species
UACGUAGGGGGCUAGCGUUGUCCGGAAUCAUUGGGCGUAAAGAGCGUGUAGGCGGCUUGGUAAGUCCGCUGUGAAAGUCCAGGGCUUAACCCUGGAAAGCCAGUGGAAACUGUCAAGCUAGAGUCCGGAAGAGGUGAGUGGAACUCCUGGUGUAGCGGUGAAAUCGCAGAUAUCAGGAAGAACACCAAUGGCGAAGGCAGCUCACU